rnacentral:rRNA from 1 species
UACGGAGGGUGCAAGCGUUAUCCGGAUUUACUGGGUUUAAAGGGUGUGUAGGCGGACUUUUAAGUCAGUGGUGAAAUCUCCGGGCUCAACCCGGAAACUGCCAUUGAUACUAUUGGUCUUGAAUAUUGUGGAGGUGGGCGGAACGGGUCAUGUAGCGGUGAAAUGCUUAGAGAUGACCCGGAACACCGAUUGCGAAGGCAGCCCACUACGCAAUGAUUGACGCUGAGGCACGAAAGCGUGGGGAUCAAACAGG